rnacentral:rRNA from 1 species
GAUGAACGCUGGCGGCGUGCCUAAUACAUGCAAGUCGAGCGAACGGACGAGAAGCUUGCUUCUCUGAUGUUAGCGGCGGACGGGUGAGUAACACGUGGAUAACCUACCUAUAAGACUGGGAUAACUUCGGGAAACCGGAGCUAAUACCGGAUAAUAUUUUGAACCGCAUGGUUCAAAAGUGAAAGACGGUCUUGCUGUCACUUAUAGAUGGAUCCGCGCGGCAUUAGCUAGUUGGUAAGGUAACGGCUUACCAAGGCAACGAUGCAUAGCCGACCUGAGGGGGUGAUCGGCCACACUGGAACUGAGACACGGUCCAGACUCCUACGGGAGGCAGCAGUAGGGAAUCUUCCGCAAUGGGCGAAAGCCUGACGGAGCAACGCCGCGUGAGUGAUGAAGGUCUUCGGAUCGUAAAACUCUGUUAUUAGGGAAGAACAUAUGUGUAAGUAACUGUGCACAUCUUGACGGUACCUAAUCAGAAAGCCACGGCUAACUACGUG